rnacentral:misc_RNA from 1 species
GAUGAAGAACGCAGCGAAAUGCGAUAAGUAGUGUGAAUUGCAGAAUUCCGUGAAGCAUCGAAUCUUUGAACGCACAUUGCGCCUUCUGGUAUUCCGGAAGGCAUGCCUGUUCGAGAGUCAUUAACAACCGUUUCGAUCCCUUUCUUUCAGAAAUUACAAAGAGGAAAAGGGUUUGGUUAUGGUGGAGGAGGGAAAGGGAGCGUUUAGCCUGUAAAAAAAGAGGCUGUGUUCCGCCUCCCCCCCAAAAUUGUACAGGCGGUCGUGUGCGCCCACGCAUCGAGGUGUUGUAAAAGCUGCCACGGCACUUUUCACCUGUGCAGUGCGAGAUUGGCCAGCCGGUUUAAAAACCCCUCCAAACAAUCAAAGGUUGACCUCGGAUCAGGUAGGGAUACCCGCUGAACUUAAGCAUAUCAAUAAGCGGAGGA